rnacentral:rRNA from 1 species
GCCCAGUGAACAAUUAAACGGCCGCGGUACCCUAACCGUGCAAAGGUAGCAUAAUCAUUUGUCUAUUAACUGUAGACCUGUAUGAAAGGCAAAAUGAGGGUUUAACUGUCUCUUAUAAUAAAUCUAUUAAACUGAUCCCCCAGUAAAAAAGCUGGGAUACUCCCAUAAGACCAGAAGACCCUGUGAAGCUUUAACUAAACUAUUAAACUAAAUAAUAACUACUUUAGGUUGGGGCGACCUUGGAAAUAAAAAGAACUUCCAACAUAACAAAUAAUCAUUAAGGCCCACAAGCCAAUUAACGACCCAGUAAUACUGAUAAUUGAACUAAGUUACUCCAGGGAUAACAGCGCCAUCUUCUUCAAGAGCCCAUAUCAAAAAGAAGGUUUACGACCUCGAUGUUGGAUCAGGACACCCCAAUGGUGCAACCGCUAUUAAAGGUUCGUUUGUUCAACGAUUAAUGUCCUACGUGAU